rnacentral:piRNA from 1 species
UUAGAAAUCGUAGGCCACCGUGU